AUUGAACGCUGGCGGCAUGCCUUACACAUGCAAGUCGAACGGUAACGCGGGGCAACCUGGCGACGAGUGGCGAACGGGUGAGUAACGCAUCGGAACGUGCCAGUAGUGGGGGAUAGCCCGGCGAAAGCCGGAUUAAUACCGCAUACGACCUACGGGUGAAAGCGGGGGAUCGCAAGACCUCGCGCUAUUGGGGCGGCCGAGGUCAGAUUAGGUAGUUGGUGGGGUAAAGGCCUACCAAGCCGACGAUCUGUAGCUGGUCUGAGAGGACGACCAGCCACACUGGGACUGAGACACGGCCCAGACUCCUACGGGAGGCAGCAGUGGGGAAUUUUGGACAAUGGGCGCAAGCCUGAUCCAGCCAUGCCGCGUGCGGGAAGAAGGCCUUCGGGUUGUAAACCGCUUUUGUCAGGGAAGAAACGCUCUGGGCUAAUACCCCGGGGUAAUGACGGUACCUGAAGAAUAAGCACCGGCUAACUACGUGCCAGCCGCCGCAGUAAUAC
rnacentral:rRNA from 1 species